UACAGAGGGGGCAAGCGUUGUUCGGAAUUACUGGGCGUAAAGGGCUCGUAGGCGGCCAACUAAGUCAGACGUGAAAUCCCUCGGCUUAACCGGGGAACUGCGUCUGAUACUGGAUGGCUAGAGGUUGGGAGAGGGAUGCGGAAUUCCAGGUGUAGCGGUGAAAUGCGUAGAUAUCUGGAGGAACACCGGUGGCGAAGGCGGCAUCCUGGACCAAUUCUGACGCUGAUGAGCGAAAGCCAGGGGAGCAAACGGGG
rnacentral:rRNA from 1 species